UACGGGGGGGGCAAGCGUUGUUCGGAAUUACUGGGCGUAAAGGGCUCGUAGGUGGCCAACUAAGUCAGACGUGAAAUCCCUCGGCUUAACCGGGGAACUGCGUCUGAUACUGGAUGGCUUGAGUUUGGGAGAGGGGUGCGGAAUUCCAGGUGUAGCGGUGAAAUGCGUAGAUAUCUGGAGGAACACCGGUGGCGAAGGCGGCAUCCUGGACCAUGACUGACGCUGAGGAGCGAAAGCCAGGGGAGCAAACGGG
rnacentral:rRNA from 1 species